AGCGAACGCUGGCGGCGUGCCUAACACAUGCAAGUCGAGUGCGCAGUUCCGUGUAGCAAUACACGGAGCAGGCGCACGGCGCACGGGUGCGUAACACGUGGGUAACCUGCCCUCCAAUGGGGGAUAACCCGCCGAAAGGCGGGCUAAUACCGCAUGACAUCCCGAUGGCUUUGGCCGUCGGGAUCAAAGCUCGCAAGGGCGUUGGAGGAGGGGCCCGCGGCCGAUUAGCUAGUUGGUGAGGUAAUGGCUCACCAAGGCUGUGAUCGGUAGCUGGUCUGAGAGGAUGGCCGGCCACACCGGAACUGAGACACGGUCCAGACUCCUACGGGAGGCAGCAGUGGGGAAUCUUGCGCAGUGGGCGAAAGCCUGACGCAGCGACGCCGCGUGGGGGAUGAAGCUUCUCGGAGUGUAAACCCCUUUCGACCCCGGAAGAAUGGCCCGCAAGGGCUUGACGGUACGGGUAUAAGAAGCCCCGGCUAACUACGUGCCAGCAGCCGCGGUAAGAC
rnacentral:rRNA from 1 species